CUAUCCAUGAUGAUCUGACUUUGCUGGCCAGGUCAGAAAUUCAAGUAAUACGACUAUUGCGAUGCAUCUUCCUACGUGUGUGUAUUUAUUUGCAUUAUCAAUAUUUUCCUCCAAAUCACUUGUUGGUCAUAAAUUAUUUUGCAUUAUUGAUGAUUAAUUUGCAAUUGAAAUGACAACAGGGCCGGGUUUUAUAAGUGUAAUGGGUUCAAGUGUGACCUUCCAGUCAAGAAAUGUCCUCAGCAAGAAGCUUAUGUGAAGAUCCCUUUUCUACUUUGAAUGAAUUUACUACAUAUAUAUCUUAUUUAGUUUAGUUCAUCAUUCAGAGAUGCAUGGUGGAAUAUUUUUGUCCUUCACAGGUUAAAUGAGCAUUGCAUAAAAGUCUGUCUAAGUCUCUUUCUUAUUCUUCUAUAAACUGGAAGGCAAAUAUAGAUUUCUCACGCAUAGUUUAUCAAUCAUGAUCUCACCUCCUUUCUAUAUGCAGACAGUGUGGUACUCACUGGGGAUGCUUGCAAAUUGGUAGUGGAUGUGUGCAGUGAUGGAGGGUUAUGUCCCUAUGGGUGACAGGCAUGGUGAUGUUCACCACUGGUAUGGAGAGAACAGGGAAAAAGAUAACUUCCCUUGAACUAUGAAAUGUGGUAACGAAAUUAGAAAUCAUUGUGGUGAUAUAACUCUUUCAUAUGACCAAAAUGAAAUCGCAUUGCACUAAUUAAAGAAUCGCCUGCUAUAUUUGUUAUUUCAUUCUAUAAUUUAUGUUUACACAAUGAAAAUGAACCUGCUAAAUGCUCUAGGACAAAGGCUGGGAUGAAAUCCGCUGCAGAGCCUCAUGUGCUUCAAGUUUUCCAUAUGAAUAAGAACUACAUACUCUUUUUCUGUGGUAUGAACCCAUUUCCAGACCUAUCAAGGCCAAGCUGCUAGCUAAUUUUAAUUUCUUUUUAUGCAGAUGAAUCAACAAGUGUUCUCCAAAAGGCUGAAGGUGAAUAUCAAGGGCACCGCUCUUUGAUGAUGCACACCCAUGGUUUGUUCACCACAAUGCAAUGACAAGAUGUUCUCAAUGGUAGAACAAAAGAAGUGGAACAAAUGGGUUUAACUUGUAUGCCUACUCCUGUUGCGAUAAACAUUUGGUUUCCAUCUUCAAGACAAGUUUCUGCUUGUGUAACGACAAUAUUGUUUGGGUCGUCCAGUUUUUAGCUAUCAUAUGUUCCAGGAUCACCCUGACCAUUGGGUUCCUCAUGUUCUCCUUGGUGGUUCUGUACAUUGUCUCAAGAUGCAUUGGCCUGUUGAUACUGCAAAGGAAGCUGGCUGAUGCUAGAGAUCAUGCUCAGUAUCAGCUGAAGACAUCUUGGAAAAAGUACAGGAGGGACCUGCUCAAACAAAUGCUCCUCCCAUCUAUGAUGAACUGUGAUUUUACUUUCAUCCAUUGUUUAUACAUGAGCUUACAUCCAGAAGCAAGCUUACCUCUUAGAGUUCUUAUUUCUUAGUACAUGUUGUCUAAAGUAACAUUUGCCCAAAAAGGCUAUUACUGGUGCGUUAACCUACUGCCGGAAUUGAGCUGAAA